GGGGCCGUAGCUCAGCUGGGAGAGCGCUGCGUUCGCAAUGCAGAGGUCAGGGGUUCGAUCCCCCUCGGCUCCA
rnacentral:tRNA from 2 species